rnacentral:rRNA from 1 species
AUUGAACGCUGGCGGCAGGCCUAACACAUGCAAGUCGAGCGAGCGGCGGACGGGUGAGUAAUGUAUGGGGACUGCCCGAUCGGGGGGGAUAACUACUGGAAACGGUAGCUACUACCGCAUACUAUCGGAUAACCCAUAUGGGAUUAGCUAGUAGGUGAGGUAAUGGCUGACCUAGGCGACGAUCCCUAGCUGGUCUGAGAGGAUGAUCAGCCACACUGGGACUGAGACACGGCCCAGAAUCCUACGGAGGCAGCAGUGGUGAAUAUUGCACAAGGGGCGCAAGCCUGAUGCAGCCAUGCCGCGUGUAUGAAGAAGGCCCUAGGGUUGUAAAGUACUUUCAGUCGGGAGGCGUUACCGACAGAAGAAGCACCGGCUAACUCCGUGACAGCAGCCGCGGUAAUUC